CAAAUUCAGUUCUCGGUUCGGUUCUUGUUUGGUAUGGUUUUGGUUUGGUUUUGACACGGUUCCGGUUCAGUUAUUAGUAAAGAAUCAGAACCGAACCAAAAUAUAAAAUAAAUUCGGUUCGAUACGAUUCCUGUCGGUUCGAUACGGUUCUUCGGGUUCGGUUCGAUUUCCCCAAGAACCAUGCACAGCCGUAUCAGUCACAUAAAGCUCAAAGAAUUCUUCGUCACAAGAGCUAGUGAGAAGCCCAUUGUCAAUUAUCUUGUCUGAAUUCUUUUUAAACAUGGCAAGUUGCAUCCAGUCCACCACUGGAGAAAUCCCUGGUCAAAGUUUUCCUGUCCUCAGGACUCUGGAGAAGUCCAAGUGGAAAAUGGCUUGUCCUGGACUCAAGAGUCAGAGCGAGCCAGUCUCUUCUCUGAUCUCUCUCACGAGUUGCGCUUCCUGUUCAAAUUCUGUCCUCAACCAGUAACCCUCUUACUACCAGCAUUUCUCUUCCAUUUGCAUUCAUAAUGAAACCUCUACCUCACCUGAAUUUGUCUCUUUCAUCUAUUUUAAGAGCGACAUUGAACUUAAAAGAAAGGAGACAACUAGAAUGCAAAUUCAAAACCCUCCUUUGAUGGAGGAUUUCUGAAAAUUCCAAACAGACUUGGUUGGGUCUAAAAAUAUAUUGGCACAAACUUAAAAAUUAUGCAGAAUUCAAAGUAAUUACAAUCACAAUGAACCAAAAUGAUAGUUUUAUGAAUUUGGAGUUAUUUUACAUUCGUGACACUUUUGCAGUCUAAAAUCCGACGAGAAUUUCAUCGACCUUCAAUCAUAGUAACUGUGACAUCAUUUAUAGAACAAACUUCUCCUCUAGCUAUUAAAGAUUCUUGCUUACUUUUAGUCGGAAAAUAAAUACUGGUUUUUUAGGAGAAGGAAGACUUGUUUCAUUGCCUAACAUGAACACAACUUCUAGCAUGGUUGGCCGAUCAGCUGGGCGUUCCUGAACCCAUAGAAGUCCAAUCUGAAUGCAUUUCAAAAUUUCUUGACAAGGGUUUGAAUGUUCCAACAAUGAAUAGUCAACUAUGUCCAAGCCUUUUCCUUCCCUUCAUAGCUCCCAAACCUGAAACAUAGUUGAGGAAAUCAUUUACGACUUUAGUACCGAAUCUAAUAGGAAAUUUAUCUUAAGAAAAAUAUGUCCAUCAACUUACGUUCCCUAUCAAAUUAAGAGAAGGGCUUUCUUCAUUAUACCCGGUGUUUUUCUUGCCACUUAUGAUCUCUAGUAUUAAGACACCAUAGCUGAAGACAUCAGAUUUUACAGAAUAUAGCCCAUCCAUUGCAUAUUCCGGAGACAUAUAGCCAUAUGUUCCAACCACUUGCUUUGUAAUGGCUUCAAUUUGAUGUUCCUUGAACAAUUUAGCCAACCCAAAGUCUGAAAUUUUUGGCUCCAUUGAAGCAUCUAAUAGAAUAUUGCUUGCUUUCAAAUCCCUAUGGAUGAUUUUUAAUCUUGAAUCUUGAUGUAGAUAUAAGACUCCUCGAGCUAUCCCAAAAAUAAUUUCAAAACGUUUUCUCCAGUCCAAUAAUUGUUUCCUUGUCUUAUCAAAGAUGAAAUAGUCCAGGCUCUUAUUUGGUAAAUAUUCAUAGAUCAACAUCCUAUCUUCUUUAUGAAUGCAACAACCAAAAAGCCUGACAAGGUUUCUGUGCUGGAGUUUUGAUAUCAACUGUACUUCAUUCAUGAAUUCUUUUAUCCCCUGUCCUGACUGUUUAGAUAAUCUU
rnacentral:misc_RNA from 1 species